AGAGUUUGAUCCUGGCUCAGGAUAAACGCUGGCGGCGUGCCUAACACAUGCAAGUCGAACGCUCUGCGCAAGCAGGGAGUGGCGGACGGGUGAGGAACACGUGGGUUAUCUACCUUGAGGUGAGGAAUACCGGCGAGAAAUCGCCGACAAUACCGCAUAGGUUUGGAAACAAACAAAGUCCUGGAAACAGGACGCCUGAA
rnacentral:rRNA from 1 species